CUUGUACACACCGCCCGUUCACACCAUGGGAGCGGGUUCUGCCAGAAGUAGUUAGCCUAACCGCAAGGAGGGCGAUUACCACGGCAGGGUUCGUGACUGGGGUG
rnacentral:rRNA from 1 species